rnacentral:rRNA from 1 species
CACGUAGUUAGCCGAGACUUAUUCCUGAGGUACCGUCCUUGCUCUUCCCUCAGAAAAGGGCUUUACGAUCCGAAGACCUUCAUCGCCCACGCGGCGUCGCUGCAUCUGGGUUUCCCCCAUUGUGCAAUAUUCC